rnacentral:rRNA from 1 species
AGGUCAAGCUGAUAAGGGCGCAGGGUGGAUGCCUUGGCACUAAGAGCCGAAGAAAGACGUGACAAGCUGCGAUAAGCUGCGGGAAGGAGCAAAUAUCCAUUGAUCCGCAGAUUUCUGAAUGGGGAAACCUGUCUGAGCAAACCUCAGACAUCCAUACGCCAAUCCAUAACGUAUGGAAGGGAACCCGGGGAACUGAAACAUCUAAGUACCCGGAGGAAGAGAAAGAAACAUC